rnacentral:rRNA from 1 species
UGAGGGAUAUUGCACAAUGGGCGCAAGCCUGAUGCAGCGACGCCGCGUGGGUGAAGAAGGUUUUCGGAUCGUAAAACCCUUUUCUGUGUGACGAGCAAGGACGGUAGCACAGGAAUAAGUCUCGGCUAACUACGUGCCAGCAGCCGCGGUAAAACGUAGGAGACAAACGUUAUCCGGAGUUACUGGGCGUAAAGGGCGUGCAGGCGGCAGUCUAAGUCUGGCGUGAAAUUUCCCGGCUUAACCGGGGGAGGUCGUCGGAUACUGGGCAGCUCGAGGGCGGUAGAGGCGUGUGGAAUUCCGGGUGUAGUGGUGAAAUGCGUAGAGAUCCGGAGGAACACCAGUGGCGAAGGCGACACGCUGGGCCGCACCUGACGCUAAGACGCGACAGCAUGGGGAGCAAACAGGAUUAGAUACCCACGUAGUCCCUGAGCGGGCUGGCAAGGCGCAU